CUGCAGGCCUUUUCUAGGGGGCUGGUGGUGUUUGGUGCUGCUCUGUGGAAGUGUAGCCCCUCCAAAGGGCAAGCAGGCCUGUGCAGGGAGAGCCCCUGCGGUGGUAGGCUUCAGGCAAUUGUUGAGGCCAGCCCUCCUGGAUGGCAGGCAGCCCCAGGUUCCGCGAGAGCGUAGGGGGUGGCGGGGGUGGGGGGAGGGGAUGCACUGGGAAGCACAGCUUUCUGCUAGCUAGCGGGCCUGUAAGCUUGCUGUGGCGUGGGGGGUAUUCUAUGGGAACCCACCCCUUCUUUUCUCCGCUCCCCAGCACGGGCGCAGACCAGGCUCUUCUCCCAGGUUCCCUCUGAGGCGGCUUUCCACUUCCCCGCCCCUAGAGUAUUGCUCCCUUCCUCUGCUUUGUUUUCUAGUCUCCCAGGCAGUCUCUGCCCGUCAAAUGGUUUAGAGACCUCCCAAGCAGUUUCCGCUCUUCCCCGCCCCCUAGCCCGGGGACUAAUCUCUGGAGCCGAGGUCUCGGUGCCCAGCCCCCACCCAGGCGUCCCCAGGCCCCCUUUCGGGGACCAACCUUCAGAGGCGAGGUCUCGGUGCCCAGCCCCCACCCAGGCGUCCCCCGGCCCUUUCCCGGGGACUAACCUCUGGAGCCGAGGAUUCGGUGCCCAGCCCCCACCCAGGCGUCUCAAUUUUUGGUGACUGUGCCCAUAGUUCAGAUGGUCCGUUGGGUUCUUGAUCCGUUUUUCCGUACUCCGACUUACUGCUACACUCUUCUCUGCAUCUGGGGAUUCCUCCUGUUCAUUUGAUCUUUCGCCCGGUAGGAGACUUUCCAGGGUGCAGGAUCUCUUUCUCCUCCGCAGUUCCCUUUCGGGAGCGCCCGUCCCGCUCGGAUUCACCUUCUCUCACUCUCCUCUUUUCUCCCGUUCUGCCCAAUAAUGUCACGAACUUCUUGCCAUUAUUGGAGUUUAGGUUCCUCUGCCAGCGAUUGGUUGCUGUUCUGUGCGAGUCAUUUCUUCUGUAGAUGUGCUUUUUUUGUUGUGUUUGUGGGAGAGGGCGAGCGUGUCCCCCUACUCCUCCGCCAUCUUGUCCUCUCCCACAAGUCUUAUUAUUGGGAAAGAUUUUUAUUGCAUGGAAAACACAAACAUUUGUACUUACAGAAAUGUUUAUUAAAACUCAUAUAUCUAAAAGACACAAUUUAGAAACUACUUUCUUUUAAGACUUCAAAUUUCACUUGUGAUUUGAAUUAAGAAAAUUCCUUUGGAAAUUUAUACUAUAUUUCAAAUUAAUGUUGAAGAUUCUUCUGAAUCCUUCACAUCUGCAAGCUAUAGAAGGACUACUUCCAGCAGUUAGAACUUACUGCCAAACUCAUACUGAAACCUAUUCUAAACCAACAAUUCCACAUAUUUAAUUAACGUUUUAUUACAUUCUUAUGUAUUUUUAUGUCUUCCUAAGAUCAUCAUUAGCCAUACUUUCUCAUCUUACUAGGGUCGUGGUAAUGUGAUUUACACUUGGUUUUGGAGUUGAGAUUACUUUUCCAUAUACAAAAUAUGACUAUACACUUGGGUCAGAGAAUGUUAUAAUAUCUGGGUAUAUAGUGAUAAUUAUUGGGAGAAUGGGCUUUGUUUGAUUGCCUCUUCUAAAAUGAUUAAAAUCAGAAUUCUUGACCAGUAGUUUGAGUAUUCUUUUUGCAGUUAAAAUCAAGAUUUAUGAUACUAAGAUGUUUUAAGAAUAGAUUUAUUAUACCAGCUUAACUUUUUGUCACUUAUAUUUUCCUGUGGAAUGAUAUAUUUUCUAGUUUCAUUUAAUGAUAUUAAAUAACUGCUUUUCUGCUACUGUAAUACACCAAUUAGAUCUAUUAACAUUAAUUAAAAAGAACCUAUUUUAUAGAAAAAAUUACUAGUAAGUAAUAGAUAGCUUUCAGAAAAUGAGAGUCUGAGUUGGCAUAAAUAAAUUUUGUUUUUAGAAUAUUGUCUAAAUCAGAAGUUCCCAUCAUGGCUCAGUGGAAAUGAAUCUGACUAGUAUCCAUGAGGACACAGAUUCGAUCCCUGGCCUUUCUCAUUGGGUUAAGGAUCUGGCGUUGCAGUGAGCUUCGGUGUAGUUUGUAGACAUGGCUCAGAUCUGGCAUUGCUGUGGCAGUGUUGUAGGCCAGCAGCUACAGUUUCAUUCGACCCCUAGCC
rnacentral:lncRNA from 1 species